AGGAGCUCGUGACCAGUUUUGCCUAGAUUCAAAAGAACAUUAAAUUUCAAAGAAUUCAUUGAAAGGAAUCGAACUCCGAAGACCCGUCACAUUUAUUUUUGUUUGUAAAAGUAAAUAGGUACCUAUACUAUUGCCCCAGCAGUGGAAAUUCUCAUGUUAUCAAUAUUUAACAAAGAGGCCAUUCCCUUGCAUAUUAAAAUGAAUUAAACUAUUAAACAUGUCCGUACUAAGACAGGGUUUAAUAAUCUGGGAUGCUCGCGACAAACAAUUGCGACUUUUGUUGAUAUGACUAACUGAAACGCGUAGACGGCCAGGGUACGUUACGUUUUAAUCAAAGGUGAGUUUACAGUAGAUUUGUCGUAUCUUAAUAAGAUUGACCUAUGGCCAACGAUUAUUCCCCAUUCAAUCAGUUCCUUUCUCGGAAAACAUAUUAUAAAUGCGCUGUUAACAAUAUUGACAAAAUAACGGUCGACAUUGGUGAUUAAUGGAAAAUUAUGGAACAAAAGCGGAAGACCACAAAAUUCAACUGCUCUUAUAAUCAUAGAAGUAUGGCGUUUCCCGAAGGAACCGGUGAAUACAAAUGAUUUUGCACACAUUUGGACAUAAUCAGAAAGUAGUUACGAAAAAUCGCUACAACUACCUAGUUCGUUUUCAUUUUUUAAAAGUGCGCAAAAAAUCUUCAAAUGAAGGAGAGGCACUAUUCGGGUUUGUAUAGCUCAAUAGCUGACUCUACUUGGAAAAAGAUCAAACGUAUUAUUUCAAUGACCAAAAACUAAAUAACUUUAAUCGAUGCUUUACGAUGUUAAUUAGCAUUUUGAGAUUUAGGUUCUAUCCUUCAUGGUGCAACUGUAAGGUCCAGAGGAAAAUAAUUGUAUCAGGAACGAGAGAAGGCACUCGCAAGAGAGAAAUGGCACGUGUGAACCAGACUGGUGUGAUUAAAACUUCAACCAAAGUACUCUUUGCUUCAACUGUGAAUAGCUCGAAAAGACGAAAACGGUGGGAAGUGUGUGGUGAAACUGGAAUAAAAUGUCAUGUGGCCCCUCAUCAGGCUGUUGGGACUGUUCCUAAAAUGUUUAAUGUUAUUGCUUAUUGGUGUAGCAAUUCCAAUUUAACAUUCGUUACUACGACAGAGGUUAUAAAACGUUGAGAUGGUAGGUACUUUAUACCUAUUCAUGAACAAUACCUGAUACGGAUAAUGUACAAUGUAUUUCAGUAUGUAUUUAAACGAAUAAAUCGUGAUUGUGGCUGA